UACGUAGGGGGCAAGCGUUGUCCGGAAUCAUUGGGCGUAAAGAGCGCGUAGGCGGCCCUGUAAGUCCGCUGUGAAAGUCAAGGGCUCAACCCUUGAAUGCCGGUGGAUACUGCAGGGCUAGAGUCCGGAAGAGGCGAGUGGAAUUCCUGGUGUAGCGGUGAAAAUGCGCAGAUAUCAGGAGGAACACCGAUGGCGAAGGCAGCUCG
rnacentral:rRNA from 1 species